rnacentral:rRNA from 1 species
GACGAACGCUGGCGGCGUGCUUAACACAUGCAAGUCGAGCGGUAAGGCCUUUCGGGGUACACGAGCGGCGAACGGGUGAGUAACACGUGGGUGAUCUGCCCUGCACUUCGGGAUAAGCCUGGGAAACUGGGUCUAAUACCGGAUAUGACCUCCUAUCGCAUGGUGGGUGGUGGAAAGAUUUAUCGGUGCAGGAUGGGCCCGCGGCCUAUCAGCUUGUUGGUGGGGUAAUGGCCUACCAAGGCGACGACGGGUAGCCGACCUGAGAGGGUGACCGGCCACACUGGGACUGAGACACGGCCCAGACUCCUACGGGAGGCAGCGGUGGGGAAUAUUGCACAAUGGGCGAAAGCCUGAUGCAGCGACGCCGCGUGAGGGAUGACGGCCUUCGGGUUGUAAACCUCUUUCGGCAGGGACGAAGCGCAAGUGACGGUACCUGCAGAAGAAGCACCGGCUAACUACGUG